CAGAGUAGGCAUGUGAGCGUGUGGAGUUUCCACCAGUGCCGCGCGGACGGGGAGUUGCCGCGCGGACGAAAGGCCGCGGGCGGGCGGCUGCGGUUCACAUGCCGCAUCCCGCUG
rnacentral:ncRNA from 1 species